rnacentral:rRNA from 1 species
GUGAGGAAUAUUGGUCAAUGGGCGAGAGCCUGAACCAGCCAAGUCGCGUGAAGGAAGAAGGAUCUAUGGUUCGUAAACUUCUUUUGCAGGGGAAUAAAGUGCAGGACGUGUCCUGUUUUGUAUGUACCCUGAGAAUAAGGAUCGGCUAACUCCGUGCCAGCAGCCGCGGUAAUACGGAGGAUCCGAGCGUUAUCCGGAUUUAUUGGGUUUAAAGGGUGCGUAGGUGGUUUGAUAAGUCAGCGGUGAAAGUUUGCAGCUUAACUGUAAAAAUGCCGUUGAAACUGUCGGACUUGAGUGUAAAUGAGGUAGGCGGAAUGCGUGGUGUAGCGGUGAAAUGCAUAGAUAUCACGCAGAACUCCGAUUGCGAAGGCAGCUUACUAAGCUACAACUGACACUGAAGCACGAAAGCGUGGGGAUCAAACAGGAUUAGAAACCCUAGUAGUCC